CCUACGGGGGGCAGCAGUGAGGAAUAUUGGUCAAUGGGCGAGAGCCUGAACCAGCCAAGUCGCGUGAGGGAGUACUGCCCUAUGGGUUGUAAACCUCUUUUGUCGGGGAGCAAAAGCCGGACGUGUCCGGCUGUGAGAGUACCCGAAGAAAAAGCAUCGGCUAACUCCGUGCCAGCAGCCGCGGUAAUACGGAGGAUGCGAGCGUUAUCCGGAUUUAUUGGGUUUAAAGGGUGCGCAGGCGGGUUUUUAAGUCAGCGGUAAAAUCGUGGGGCUCAACCCCAUCCAGUCGUUGAAACUGGGGAUCUAGAGUGUGCGAGAGGUAUGCGGAAUGCGUGGUGUAGCGGUGAAAUGCAUAGAUAUCACGCAGAACCCCGAUUGCGAAGGCAGCAUACCGGUGCACAACUGACGCUCAGGCACGAAAGCGUGGGUAUCGAACAGGAUUAGAUACCCGUGUAGUC
rnacentral:rRNA from 1 species